AGAGUUUGAUCAUGGCUCAGAUUGAACGCUGGCGGCAGGCCUAACACAUGCAAGUCGAGCGGUAGCACAGAGAGCUUGCUCUCGGGUGACGAGCGGCGGACGGGUGAGUAAUGUCUGGGAAACUGCCUGAUGGAGGGGGAUAACUACUGGAAACGGUAGCUAAUACCGCAUAACGUCGCAAGACCAAAGUGGGGGACCUUCGGGCCUCAUGCCAUCAGAUGUGCCCAGAUGGGAUUAGCUGGUAGGUGGGGUAACGGCUCACCUAGGCGACGAUCCCUAGCUGGUCUGAGAGGAUGACCAGCCACACUGGAACUGAGACACGGUCCAGACUCCUACGGGAGGCAGCAGUGGGGAAUAUUGCACAAUGGGCGCAAGCCUGAUGCAGCCAUGCCGCGUGUGUGAAGAAGGCCUUCGGGUUGUAAAGCACUUUCAGCGGGGAGGAAGGCGGUGAGGUUAAUAACCUUGCCGAUUGACGUUACCCGCAGAAGAAGCACCGGCUAACUCCGUGCCAGCAGCCGCGGUAAUACGGAGGGUGCAAGCGUUAAUCGGAAUUACUGGGCGUAAAGCGCACGCAGGCGGUCUGUCAAGUCGGAUGUGAAAUCCCCGGGCUCAACCUGGGAACUGCAUUCGAAACUGGCAGGCUAGAGUCUUGUAGAGGGGGGUAGAAUUCCAGGUGUAGCGGUGAAAUGCGUAGAGAUCUGGAGGAAUACCGGUGGCGAAGGCGGCCCCCUGGACAAAGACUGACGCUCAGGUGCGAAAGCGUGGGGAGCAAACAGGAUUAGAUACCCUGGUAGUCCACGCUGUAAACGAUGUCGAUUUGGAGGUUGUGCCCUUGAGGCGUGGCUUCCGGAGCUAACGCGUUAAAUCGACCGCCUGGGGAGUACGGCCGCAAGGUUAAAACUCAAAUGAAUUGACGGGGGCCCGCACAAGCGGUGGAGCAUGUGGUUUAAUUCGAUGCAACGCGAAGAACCUUACCUGGUCUUGACAUCCACAGAACUUUCCAGAGAUGGAUUGGUGCCUUCGGGAACUGUGAGACAGGUGCUGCAUGGCUGUCGUCAGCUCGUGUUGUGAAAUGUUGGGUUAAGUCCCGCAACGAGCGCAACCCUUAUCCUUUGUUGCCAGCGGU
rnacentral:rRNA from 1 species